AUACCUUUCUCGGCCUUUUGGCUAAGAUCAAGUGUAGUAUCUGUUCUUAUCAGUUUAAUAUCUGAUACGUGGGCCAUUGGCCCACAUGAUAUUAAAUUAAUUUUUCGAAGGGGAGGGCCUACGACAGUGGCUUGCCACUGGGGUCCUCGCGCGUCGCCCUGGCCUUGCACUGCUGCCUCGGCCUGGCGCUCCCUGC